UCCAAACGUCGCCCCCGUGAAGGCGGGGGCCGCCGGCAACCCUGCGCUACCUCUCUAGCGGCCCCCGCCUUCGCGGGGGCGACGGUCAGU
rnacentral:pre_miRNA from 1 species